UACGUAGGGGGCUAGCGUUAUCCGGAAUUACUGGGCGUAAAGGGUGCGUAGGCGGUCUUUCAAGCCAGAAGUGAAAGGCUACGGCUCAACCGUAGUAAGCUUUUGGAACUGUAAGACUUGAGUGCAGGAGAGGAGAGUGGAAUUCCUAGUGUAGCGGUGAAAUGCGUAGAUAUUAGGAGGAACACCAGUAGCGAAGGCGGCUCUCUGGACUGUAACUGACGCUAAGGCACGAAAGCGUGGGGAUCAAACAGGAUUAGAUACCCGCGUAGUCCCUGAG
rnacentral:rRNA from 1 species